CUGUUUGAUUCUGGCUCAGGAUGAACGCUGGCGGCGUGCUUAACACAUGCAAGUCGAACGAGGGCGAUAGCAAUAUUGCCCGAGUGGCGGACGGGUGAGUAACGCGUGAACAAUCUGCCUGUAUCAGGGGAAUAACACUAAGAAAUUGGUGCUAAUACCGCAUAAGACCACGGAGAGGCAUCUCCCCGGGGUAAAAGAAUAAUCGGAUACAGAUGAGUUCGCGUCCCAUUAGGUAGUUGGUGAGGUAACGGCCCACCAAGCCGACGAUGGGUAGCCGACCUGAGAGGGUGAUCGGCCACAUUGGAACUGAGAGACGGUCCAGACUCCUACGGGAGGCAGCAGUGGGGAAUAUUGGGCAAUGGAGGGAACUCUGACCCAGCAACGCCGCGUGAGUGAAGAAGGUUUUCGGAUUGUAAAACUCUUUAAGCGGGGACGAAGAAAGUGACUGUACCCGCAGAAUAAGCAUCGGCUAACUACGUGCCAGCAGCCGCGGUAAUACGUAGGAUGCAAGCGUUAUCCGGAAUGACUGGGCGUAAAGGGUGCGUAGGUGGUUUGUCAAGUUGGCAGCGUAAUUCCGUGGCUUAACCGCGGAACUACUGCCAAAACUGAUAGGCUUGAGUGCGGCAGGGGUAUGUGGAAUUCCUAGUGUAGCGGUGGAAUGCGUAGAUAUUAGGAGGAACACCGGUGGCGAAAGCGACAUACUGGGCCGUAACUGACACUGAAGCACGAAAGCGUGGGGAGCAAACAGGAUUAGAUACCCUGGUAGUCCACGCC
rnacentral:rRNA from 1 species